rnacentral:ncRNA from 18 species
AAUAAUAAAAGCAACGCGAGUUUAUAUUACUAUGAUUAAAAGGGAAGUAAGUGAGAUUCUUACGCGAUCCCGUCGCUGUGAUGGUUUAGCCUUUUGUAAGCCACUGGAUAUAAAUCUGGGAAGGUAAAGGGUGUUAAUACCUAAGUCAGAAGACCUGCUUCGUUGCGAUAACGCCGG